CAACCGGGGAGGGUCAUUGGAAACUGGGGAACUUGAGUGCAGAAGAGGAGAGUGGAAUUCCACGUGUAGCGGUGAAAUGCGUAGAGAUGUGGAGGAACACCAGUNGGNCGAAGGCGACUCUCUGGUCUGUAACUGACGCUGAGGAGCGAAAGCGUGGGGAGCGAACAGGAUUAGAUACCCUGGUAGUCCACGCCGUAAACGAUGAGUGCUAAGUGUUAGGGGGUUUCCGCCCCUUAGUGCUGCAGCUAACGCAUUAAGCACUCCGCCUGGGGAGUACGGUCGCAAGACUGAAACUCAAAGGAAUUGACGGGGGCCCGCACAAGCGGUGGAGCAUGUGGUUUAAUUCGAAGCAACGCGAAGAACCUUACCAGGUCUUGACAUCCUCUGACAAUCCUAGAGAUAGGACGUCCCCUUCGGGGGCAGAGUGACAGGUGGUGCAUGGUUGUCGUCAGCUCGUGUCGUGAGAUGUUGGGUUAAGUCCCGCAACGAGCGCAACCCUUGAUCUUAGUUGCCAGCAUUCAGUUGGGCACUCUAAGGUGACUGCCGGUGACAAACCGGAGGAAGGUGGGGAUGACGUCAAAUCAUCAUGCCCCUUAUGACCUGGGCUACACACGUGCUACAAUGGACAGAACAAAGGGCAGCGAAACCGCGAGGUUAAGCCAAUCCCACAAAUCUGUUCUCAGUUCGGAUCGCAGUCUGCAACUCGACUGCGUGAAGCUGGAAUCGCUAGUAAUCGCGGAUCAGCAUGCCGCGGUGAAUACGUU
rnacentral:rRNA from 1 species